CUAACAGUUUUGUUACCAUCUUUCAGGAUGAAUUUCCAAGUCCUUUGGAUUUAUCCAUGCUCAGGGCGUUCUCAGAAGCCUGGUGGUUCAAGAUGGGGGACAGGUGGUGAGAAGGACCUGUGUAUAGCUGAGAAGGACAUAACCGAGAUGACCAGAAAUCUCCCAUGGAGGAGCAAGUCUAUACUGUACCUGCUUCCAACAAUUGAAAUAUCAUUGCCUUGAACUGAGUUUGUUAGCUCAGAACAUGACAAAGAAUUGUGAGUGGAAGAAAGGAAUCACUUUUCCCUUGGCGUCUUCACUGUUGUCCCCUCCUGCUUCUCCAUUCCCAGUGUCAUGAAAGACUCCCCCAGCCUCAGUGACCUCCACUGACAGUGGUUUCCCCCUGCUGAGGAGUUCUUCAAACUCCAGCAAGGUAUCAUUUUCAGUACUUCUCUAGGUGUGAUGGACCAGUUUGAAAAUGCUCAAAGGUCUUCAAGACUUUACUGCAACCAGGACAAAGAGCAGUGGAAAGUUAGUCUGGAAGAAUGCAGUGAUUUGAGCUGGAUAUCAGUUGUAUUGGUGAUGAAAUGCCAAGGUGGAGCAGCAGUGUCGAUAUCAGGACAUUCUUUCAGCGCUGAUCCAGAAGUGAGAAAGCAGUGCACAAAUUGCUGUGUUCUCCUGAAGUCCUGCAGCAAGUUGAGUACACAAAAAAUCACAGGAGAUGUCUAGUGCCUGAAGAACAGCCUCCCAGCAGAUGAAGAGUUGGUAAUAGAAGGAGUAGAUAUAUUUAACCCUUUUUUCAUAUGGACAACAUUCUGGGACACAGGAGGGGCUGACGUGUGCUUGGCACUGAGCAUGAGACUGCCUCAAAGAGUUUACACCUAUCUGCCAGCACAUGAAGAGGGCAAGGAAAUGCACUCAGCUCUGAUGGGACAAGAGAGACACCAAUAGGCUGUGGUCUGUUUCUGCAGCCUGAGCUACCAGCUGGGAGAAACCAGGAAAGUGCUUGUUUAGAAAUACCUCAAGCCCAGCUAGUGCCUUCAACGUACAGAGCUAUCCAUCUGCUUUCAGCUGUACCACGAUCCUCUUCAUGCCCUACAUAGCCCCAUAGCCUGCUAAGUGUGAGAAACUUCCCAAGGGAAUGCCACCCAACCCUGCUGAAAGCAGGCAUCUUCCAGGCAGGACAGUGGAACCUUUGCAUUGCUUUGUGCCACUGGAGUUGUCCCUAGUGGUAGAAGCAAAGGAAGUGGUGGUCUGGGCAAAGAGCCAUCCAUCCCAUGUGUCUCACGGUGUCUCUCUGAGCAUCAGGGCACUGGGAGUUUCCUCCUGAUGUUCCUGCAUGUUCCUGCCCCUGUGCUAUAGCCCAUGGGCCCCUGGGAGGUGCCACUGCAGCUGUCUGUAAAGAGGGUACUGCCUGUUCCUGUAAAGAUUCAGAUACAAGGCUAAAUCUAAACAUUGUGUCUCCUUAACUUCCAUGAAUUACUCCUGCACUUCAUGCAACGUCUUUAGCGGGGCCUGGGGCAACGUGCAAUACUGCUGCUGCUGUGCCAGAAGUCUGGAUGUGGCUGACCCAGAGAACCCUGCAGGAUAGAAGAAUUCAGCAAUGGGAGAUCGGUCCCAGGCCUACUUGAUCUUGUCCAUUUGGCACUGCUGGAGGAAUAACAAGUUUCUUCCCGUCGUGCACCAUUCUGGGAUACAUCAUGACAGAGAAAUCUCAAAGCCCAGGUCAAUUAUAACAGAAGAUGUGUAGCACCUCUGCCCUCACAGAGUCUUCUGGGGAUCCACUUGGCAAAAUGAUAUAAAACUAUUUCUGAAGACUUCCCGUGAUCUGGCCCUGCUUGGAACUAAGUCACCAGCAAAAAUGCAGGGAAAUAUGCGUAUGCACCACUGGUUACCUUCCCCCUUGUUUGCCAUAGAGCCGACUGACGUGACAUGUGUGGGGAAAGGCCUGGAGCUGGCAGAUUCCUCACUAUCCGGAAGUGGAGUGGCUUUGCUGGAAAGGAUGGGACAUGCCUUCUGCACAGCCCCGCUCUGGGUAGCCCAUGGUCUGCAGAAGGGCAGAGGUGUCCCUUCGAGUUCCCGUGGGCAGAGCAGAGGACAGACUCACAAGUCCUGCCUUUCAGCAAGAAGAUAUGGUAUAAAGCACCACCUAGUACAAAGCUGUGAGAAUUAGACAGAAAGGAGAUUGCUGUGAAGUUGAUUUUAUGAACUGACCCCGAAGAAAAGAAUACCUGCAGAUGAGUGCAGCAUGAAGGUUGCAGUUCCUGGCCUGAAGUGGAAGGCUGCAGAGAUGCCAGGGGAGAGAAUUCAACUGGGACCCUCAGCAUCCCUGUUAGACAGUGUGCCUGUGGAGCUGCUGGCUGUUCUGUGAUUGUCCCCCUUGAAACUGUUGUUGCUGUCACCAGAGCUGCUCAUUUUGCUGACUGAGUUUAAAUGACGACUGGGCAUGGACCUUAAUGCUGCAACCUGGAGUAGGCAAAAUCCUAGAUGGGGAAGGGGUAUUUAUCCACCUGGAAAAACAGAGCUAAGGAAAAGAAAUGGGGCAGUGCUAGUCCCGUGGGAUUUAUAUACUGAACUAGAAGAUUGGUGCAACCUAUUAAAUAUGAGUCUUGUUGGUCUGGGGACACAGGAUUGCCUGACUUAUUUGGUGUACGGUUAGGUCAGCACCCUGCCUUUCAAAAUUCCCUGCAUGACUGUGAAAAUCCAGCAUUGGUCUAUCUUAAUUCAGGAUUAAAAGUCUUCAGGAGGUACUGGUUUAACUCCUCUGUGGUCUCCCUGCUGCCCUCCCUCCCUUGCAGUUUGCAGCAGCAGCAUCUACAGUAAUGGAGAAUAGCUGUGUAGUUUAAGCAAAAGCCAAGAGCUUUGGACACCAAGAAAGCAAUCCUCUCCACUGCCUGCCUCGAGGAAAGGAAAGCAUUGUGCCCAUAGAUGUAGGGCCCUAGGGUGGUUUUAAAUUAGCUGAAGACUCUACUUCUGCGUGAAGUUUGGCUGCAAGAACAGUGUGGUAAAACACAUAUUACCACUUUCCUACAUUAUAGUUAAUCACUAUUUUCUAGAACAGUUAAACUGCCAUCCCCUCCCAGAGAAUAAUUACUGCUAUUUAAUUGUAUUUAUAAUUUAGUAUACACCUGAAAAAUAUGCUAUAAAAUAUCAGGGGGGUUCCCUUUAAUACUGGUCUUCCAUUUACAAACUGUCACAUUUAUAAUGCGUCUUUAAUCUUCUGUGGUCUGCUAGAAUUUUAUAUUAAAGUCUGCUUUGUGCUUUAAAUAUUAAAGAUUCUGCAGUACUUCAAAAGAUGAUAAUGCCUGAUGCUCUGGUGGUGCUUAAAUCUCAACAGCUAAAUAUAUUGAGGAAUGUUCGGUGGCCCUGGCUUAAUUAAACAUGUAUGUGUAUUUUCAAAUGCAAUCUUUUUCUGCUUGUUAGGUUUUUGACAAACCUCCAAACAGGUCCAGGUGGAACAAAGCAUGUAAACAAGCUUGUGAAUGCAAGCUUAAAACACUCAAAUUAGCACCUUCUUACAAUUAAUAUGCAAACCCUGGGAUCUCUGUUAUUGAUAAUGCCAUUUAAUAUUAUUUGCAGCUGAGCCUUAUAGUCUAGCCUUUUCAGUUUGCUAAACCAUGUCCACUUUAAUUAUGUGAAAAUGUACUGUUAGAGACUAGUCAUCCAAUGAGACCCUAUUUACUAUGAGAAACUUACUCUACCCUGCGUAACAUAGUAUGAAUUACAGGGCUGCAAUAGCUUUUCAGCAUGCCAUUUGCAUUACGGUGUCUAAUGGUCUAAUUUAGCACAUACAGCUAAAUCUGGAACCAUCGAGGCAGGCGCACAGGUUAA